AAGUGGAAAGUAAAAACUUACAAUCAGUUUCGACCUGAAAAUUUGGCAAAAUUAUGCCUCUACUUA
rnacentral:tRNA from 1 species